rnacentral:lncRNA from 1 species
CAUAUGUAUGUGGUUUCAGCCAUUUUCCUUAGUAUUGGAGGGAGAUUCCUUAACCACAUUCUUCUCUCCUAGAUUCUGAAACCAGAAACACAAUCAAUGCUUUCAGGUUCUGUUGCUUUCUGGGGCUGGCCACCCAUGGGCACUUUGGGACUGGGGACUAAUUCAAUUAAAUCUUUACUAGCUUUCUCUUCUCAUUGAUUUUCUUCACUGUGUACACUUGCCUGUCCUGGACCUUGCUUUGUAGACCAGGCUGGUCUUGCACUUACAGAUUAUCCUGCCUCUGCUUCUGGAGGGCUGGACUUAAAGGUGUGCCCCACCAUGUCCACUUCCUCUUUCUCAGAUUGGUAGUUUACUGUGUGAGAUCUUGUCCUGAGGUCACCAUUCUCUUUAUUCCAUUUAAUAGCUUUAAUUUGCUUUUCUCCUUGAACACAGUCUUAGCUCCAUUCUACUCCCCAGUGCUUCUUUUCUCCUUGAACUGCAAACUUUGUAUUUUACCUUGCUCAGCUUGCUCCUCUUUUAAAUAAAAACC